CUCAGAAAACCAUGACAGUUUGUUUCAGUUGCAUGCUUUAAAGAUUUUGGUUUUGGUUAUCUCUGUUACAUUCCUUCAAAGGUUUUCCCUGCUUUGAUUCUUUUCUUCUCUGCAUUUUUUACUUUGAUAAAUUAUAUAUAUUAAGUUCAUUUCUAUUCUGUUUUCUUUUUAUUGCUACAAUAAAUUUCCACUCUUUGUUUCCUUUUGGGUCUGAACAAAAUCUAAUCUUCAUAGCUUUAUACUUGAAUUUGAUCCCAUUAGUUGAACUCAUUCAUGUUUUUGAAAAAUCAAUGUGGGUUUUUUCUUUUUGAACUCUCGUUGUUAUUCAUUAGCUAUAAAGCGAGGAAUCGAGGUUUUCUUUUUCUUUUUCUUUUUCUUUUUCCUUUUGGGGCCAGAUUACACCAAGUUUUUCCUUGCUGUUGAAUGCUGCAUUUGUGGGGGUAAAGGAAGAUUCUAAGUCGAGGGACUAGAGGCCUCAAAAGAAACAAUGAAGAAUCUUUGUCUAAAUGAGUGAAGGUGAAGCAAUGAUGACGAACAUUUGACAGAUCAGAAAUUGAUAUUUUGAGGGCCCGAGGAUCAGGUUGGAGCUUGAGUAAAAAUAAGCUUUGACUGGGCACCAAACUUUUGAGCUAGUGAACAAUGACCUCCACAAACCUCUCCACUUUCCAAGGCUGAACUUUGUUCUUGCAUAACUUUUGAUUUGUAAAAAGUGCAAAGUACAAUCUGCUUUUUCUAUAAGGUUCUACUGUCAGUGCACACUUCACUUCUGAAUUUUCCCCUUUCUCUUUUCUUCUUUUUGUUUGUGUGAGUGCAAGGAAUAAAUGUCCCUCCUGUUCAAGAGCUGAAGAUCAUUUAUCGUUGGUUGAGAGGCUGUAACAUUGAUUCAACAUAAAAAUAUCUUUGGUAAUUUAAUUGCUCCUACCAGGUUUCGCUACUUUUCUUUGUCAUCCUGUGAUGCAAUUUACGUUUAUUUUAGGGAUAUAUUAACUAAAAUUUAGCACUUUCAAGACAUCCUUCAGAUUUCAUUUUUGUUGAUGACAUAUAUUUUGGCAUAUAUUUCACCAUGUGGAUAUAUUUGGUGGCAUAAUAUUUGUGAACAUUUAAAAGCACGAAGCUAAAGCCAAUGCUUGCCUAGUAGAGAAAUUGACAAAAGAUGCAUGUGACAUGAACCAAUAGAAUCAAGCAUGCUCAAGUUAGAAUACUACAGAUUGUAAGUUAAGAGGGCACCACUGUUGUGGGUAAAGUGAUAGCUCCCUUGACAAUGUUAUGUGUUUCUUUACGUCUGGCUGAACUUUGUUUCCUUUACACAUAUCCCUCAGAAAGUGAAAAAAGCGCAGCAUUCUAAAUUAAAGGUUAAUGAGAGCCUACCUUUCUUUUGUUGAAUAACUCCUUGAACUUGGCUUUUCAUUCCACUCAAUCGAAAAACUCUGGACACCUUCAAUGAAAGGCUGAGGAGUUGAACUGUCUACAUCAUUAUCCUAGCCAUCCACUGUCAGAGUGGGUGAUGGUACGCUAUCAUUAGCAAAUGAGAAUCUUGAUUGAAAUGCUUACAGUAUGGAAAAAAGCACUGAUACUUAACAAAUGGCAUUGCUGAUAUGGAUACUUCAAGGCCUCUAGGAUCAAGGAGGACCUCAACUUUAAAAGUAAAAAGGCUCACCAAGCGCUGAUGAUAUUCACAGAAUGCAACAGAUGACAGAAAAAGGAAAAUUAUACUUUUGUGAGAGCUUUUAAUGUUUCACGAGUAUAUAUGCUAUUUUGGAGCAAGUGGCAACUUUUCCACCAUUUUCCCUGCUACAUGACAGAGAAGUUGUUGACUGUGUGGAAUGGUGCCUACAUGAUCAUUACCAUGAAGAUUGGCAUCAAGAUGAUACUAAUGGUAUAUACAAUAACCCUUUUCUAGAAUGAUUGUCUCGGUCCAAUUUUUCUCUAAAUACUGUACCGAACAGAGUCAGAUUGGCAAUUGAGCUCAGUAUAUGCUUCUGUUGUAUGCUCACAAGUGUUGCUUUUUCAACUUUUAAUCCAAGUUCCAAAAUGUGCAAUAUUAAUCGUACAAAAUGGGCAUGUAGCAAACCCAAAGCUUUGUUAAUGUAAAUUUCCUAGUCUUAAAAAAGGAUGGAUUGCCACAUAUGCUUUACAUUUUUCUGAGAUAUUGGUUACUGAAACCAAGGAAUCUCAAUCCAUGAUAUACAUUUGUGUAGAAAAAUGCUUUCUGAAUAUUCUAUUAGAUGCAUUAGUAGAUGCUUUUAUAUUUCUGUCUCAUGUAAGGUAAAAGCCAUAUGAUGAUUGUUCUUAUUAAUGAAAAGCAGAAUAGAUGAGAUUCCUAUAAUCUUUAGCUUAAUACCUACUGAUAAGCAGAUUAUCUACAGGUUAUGUCCAAUCUGGUGGGGGAAUAUAUGUGGCUGGACUUACAGGAUAUUGCCUGUGGGACUUUCCUUGUAAAGCAAAGAUCCCCCUUCUUCCAUAUUAAAGCUAAACAUUGUUAUUUUUUGAAACACUUCUGUUACUGACCCAUCUUUAAUGUUGUUUUAAUGGGUACAUCAAUUUCCUUUACCCUAAUAGAUGGAUUAAAUGAAAUUAUUCAAGUUUGCAUUAGGCACCAGUUACCGCUUGUUCGGCACAUAGGAGCAAGAGGAUUCUCAAUGCCUUGUAGGAAUAGCAAUGGAACAUGCUGCUUUCGUUUCAAAGGACCUGAUUAUUCUCUAAUCUGUGAAAAAGGCAAAAAAAAGGCCACAUCCAAGUUGCUUUUUCCUUUUUGGAUGGACACUUUUCUGCUUGUCUAAGGUGGUGCGCAUGGAAUCUUCAGCCAGAGAAAAAGAGUGGGGCUAGCCAAAAGGCCACUCGAACGUUCGAAUAAUCUUGCAAGAAGAAGCUGGCAGUUUCGUUAUCAGAUCCCUCUCAUCAUUAACCGCCUUCUUGCUGGACUUCUCUCUUUUUUCUCCCAGAAAAGGGUUUAUGGUGAAUUCUCUUUUCUUAAAGCUUUUGAGGACUCAUAAUCCAGGCCAAAUUGAAGACUCUGCUGUUGAUGUUGCUGCUGCUGCAAGUGAUCUUUGGCUUCUCCAGACUGAAUUGGCACAACACUGUCACCCCCAUAACUCUUGUUUGGAA